rnacentral:miRNA from 1 species
CACGGCGGCUGGAAUUCCC